rnacentral:rRNA from 1 species
GCUGGCGACCGGCGCACGGGUGAGUAACACGUAUCCAACCUGCCUCAUACUCGGGGAUAGCCUUUCGAAAGAAAGAUUAAUAUCCGAUAGCAUAUAUUUCCCGCAUGGGUUUUAUAUUAAAGAAAUUCGGUAUGAGAUGGGGAUGCGUUCCAUUAGUUUGUUGGGGGGGUAACGGCCCACCAAGACUACGAUGGAUAGGGGUUCUGAGAGGAAGGUCCCCCACAUUGGAACUGAGACACGGUCCAAACUCCUACGGGAGGCAGCAGUGAGGAAUAUUGGUCAAUGGACGCGAGUCUGAACCAGCCAAGUAGCGUGAAGGAUGACUGCCCUAUGGGUUGUAAACUUCUUUUAUAUGGGAAUAAAGUUGUCCACGUGUGGAUUUUUGUAUGUACCAUAUGAAUAAGGAUCGGCUAACUCCGUGCCAGCAGCCGCGGUAAUACGGAGGAUCCGAGCGUUAUCCGGAUUUAUUGGGUUUAAAGGGAGCGUAGGCGGAUUGUUAAGUCAGUUGUGAAAGUUUGCGGCUCAACCGUAAAAUUGCAGUUGAUACUGGCAGUCUUGAGUGCAGUAGAGGUGGGCGGAAUUCGUGGUGUAGCGGUGAAAUGCUUAGAUAUCACGAAGA